rnacentral:SRP_RNA from 1 species
GAGAGGUUGGCGCGGGCGGACGCCUCGCCAACCCGGUCAGGUCCGGAAGGAAGCAGCCGCAACGAGCCCCGUUCGGGUCGCGUUCCAGCCUCUCACC